rfam:Triticum aestivum genome assembly, contig: Triticum_aestivum_CS42_TGACv1_scaffold_514747_6BS
GCAUCCAUGGCUGAAUGGUUAAAGCGCCCAACUCAUAAUUGGUAAACUUGCGGGUCCAAUUUCUGCUGGAUACA